rnacentral:lncRNA from 1 species
AAUAUUUUCUGGGAAAUUAUACGGGUUUUAUGGUGAGGGGUUAUUACUUUUGAAAAGUUAAAUGGUUUUUAAAAGCUUUGUUUUUGCCCACUCACGUUUUCUGUUUUGUGCCCCUCUAGGUUCUAGGUGGAAGUUUGUGUUGGUGGCUUACGAGGAUUCUACGACGGUUCUGACAGAAUUCAAACAAUGUAGGAAUUUUCUUUCUCUCAUGUCUUGUAUAAUUAAUACUUAGCCUGCUGGACUGCACUUAGGUUACCUAUGCUCUGAAUAUGUGUAUCUACUCUUUAAAUACCUUCACUCGCACCUAUAUACUUACCUAGUGUAAAUUAGCUAGUUUGGUUUUUUAUUUACCCACAUUUUCAUAUCAUUGUCACUUCCGCACUGCGCACAUGGCUACAUCAUCAUCAUGUGACGGCCAACAUGCCUCGAUUUAUGUCGGGGUAUGUCACAUCGGAUUUUCCAACUGACGAUCCAUAAUUAUAUAUUGUUUUUAAUCGAAUGUCUUUAUCUACAUUUUGCUGAUUUAAUUCUUUGUUUUGUUGUUCCUUUUUAUUAAGAUUUAAGCUAGAAUUUUUAGUUGGGUAUAUGAAUCGAAUUAAGAAAUUUAAGAGUUUGUAUCAUUUUCUCCUUUCUUUCCAUUUUUGCUAUUUUAUAUUGUACUUUUUCUAAACUUUAUAACUUGAUUUGUAGGAAUAUCUGGUGUUAGAUCUCAAUUCUUCAAUUUAAUUUAUUUAAUCUUGAUUCUUAUUGGAAGCUAUUCGGAAUUAUUAAUAUAUUUGUGUUGGUUCUUGCAAAACUUAACUUUGUAAUGCUCUAACUUAUGUAGCUUUUCAAUUUUAUUUAUACCAAGCCUAUGUAGCGCGUAGGCCGAGUAACUAAUGAGCUAACUACGUCCUUCGGUUGAUGCAGGGCGCGCCAACUCGUCGGCUGAGCUCGGCCAAGGAGUAAAAUGUGUUGAUGUUGCGUUGAGCACACGGCUAACUUCUCGAUCUUGCAACUACGGCCGAGGAAGGAACACAUCUCAACCUUUAGGUUCUAGAGGCUGAAGACAAGGUUGCUAGUUUUGUGAAGUUCACAAAUCGUCGGCGUUGGAUUCGGUCACAGUGAUUAUAUUUGUAAGGGUAUAAGCAUGCUGAAUCGACACCAAAGUAUAGGGGCACAAAUACUCAAAACAGAUAUAUGUCUUGAUGGUGAAUGUGGUUCGGCUACCAAAAUGCCGAACUCUAAAGCUCACUUGUGAGUAUCCAAUCAUAAAACAACUCGGUGUUCAAUGUGCCGAGCCCUAGUAAAUUGUAACACCUCACCUCGCCGAAAAGGCUAAUGAGAUGACCUCUGCCAAUAAAGACCCUAAAUCUCCACACCAAGUUCUCAAAAUAGAGAACCUCUAAGUCUCCACACCAAGGUUAGAUUUAAGUGAAAUGAGUGACCUAGAGGAAGUUGGAUUGCUAGCUAAUCUCCUCUAGGGUGGCCGGCCUCUUUAGAGAGAAAUGAGAGCUUUGUGUUCUCAUCCUUUCCCAAAAAGAAACCCUAAAUGAAUUUUGGCUAUAAAGUCAUAUUUAUACCUUAAUUCAUUGG